rnacentral:sRNA from 1 species
AUUUGAGCCAGUUGAUCCAUCUGGCAGAUAAAAACAUGUAUGAAAUGAAAUUCCUACAAAAAAGCCCCUCAUCGUGAGGGGCAAAGUUUACCAUCGCUUAUAGUUAUAAUUUGCCAGUAUUCAUUAACCAAAAUCACCAUUCACAUA